UCACUGCUUACGCGAGGAACCUUACCUGGGCUAGAAUGCUUUGUGACCGUCCCGGAAACGGGACUUCCCUUUACGGGGCACAUUGCAAGGUGCUGCAUGGCUGUCGUCAGCUCGUGCCGUGAGGUGUUGGGUUAAGUCCCGCAACGAGCGCAACCCUCAUCUUUAGUUGCCAGCGGUUCGGCCGGGGACUCUAAAGAAACUGCCUGCGUAAGCAGUGAGGAAGGUGGGGAUGACGUUUCUAGGAGGGUG
rnacentral:misc_RNA from 1 species